GCGGGUGUAGUUCAAUGGUAGAACUCCAGCCUUCCAAGCUGGCCGUGAGGGUCCGAUUCCCUUCACCCGCUCCA
rnacentral:tRNA from 2 species